rnacentral:lncRNA from 1 species
UAUUUUCAAAUAUUUUCCAAUUAAAUUUAAUAAACUGACAGCCUGGAAAUGUAUUUAAUUAUUUAAAUGCAAAUCAAUAAUUCGUACAGUGACAAACCGAACCAAAAACCAAUUGGAAAAAUCUAGAAUCGAUCAAAAACCAAGAUUUGGGCUGAUUCGAACCUGAAUCGAACCAAACCAGCCCAAACCAUCUAGAAACAUCUCCUCCCCUCUUAUCUUCAACGCUCAUAUCCCUCCCUCACUCUGUCUUGCGCCUCCCGACCACCCACCCAGCACCACUGCCUUCCUCUCCUUUCUUCUUCUUCUUCUUCUUCUUCUUCUUCUUCUUCUUCUUCUUCUUCUUCUUCUUCUUCUUCUUCUUCUUCUUCU